CAAAUUAGCAAAAUUUAAUGCGGUUGACUUAGAAUCAGUAGACAUAGGUGAAAGUCCUUUAUUUGAUA
rnacentral:tRNA from 1 species